rnacentral:rRNA from 1 species
CAACUUUUAACAACGGAUCUCUUGGUUCUCGCAUCGAUGAAGAACGUAGCAAAGUGCGAUAACUAGUGUGAAUUGCAUAUUCAGUGAAUCAUCGAGUCUUUGAACGCAUCUUGCGCCUUUUGGUAUUCCAAGAGGCACGCCUGUUUCAGUAUCAAA